rnacentral:lncRNA from 1 species
GGUGUCCUACAUUUUUUCAAACUGUUUAUGUGAAAAACGAAUUAUUGUCUGUCUACAAUGUUGCAUUUUGUCAUCCUUCCAGAGCUCUAUAGAGACACACACUCAGGAGAUAUCAACUUAUGAAUGGUUUUCGGAGAUGUUUUGAAGUAUGCUGUGUCUAAUAUUAUUCCACAUUUGUAACACUGAACGGUUGUUUCUCCUGUUUUAAAGAAUCCUGCCUCUGCUAAGUGUUUAGGCCAUAAUCUAGUAUACGUCCAUGCCAUGAAUGUAUUGAGUCUCUUCCCGAUUGUCUGCAUACAGGGUCGUCCACAUCCUUCUGGUCUAGUUAUAACCUUUGUUGAAGUUUGCAUUUGGGCUUGAUCGUUUUCUUAUUAUGUUGUUCUUAAUUCAGAAAAGCGAUCAGUAAUGUGUGUGUUCGUUUUUGUGUGUGUUUUAUUGCCACCCAAACAUUUAUCAAGUAUGUCGUUUCCUGCAAAAAAUUUCAUUGGUCGUUUGUUUGUAUUUCUAAAAACUCAGUUGGCACAAAUUCUUCUUGUUUCUGAUCAUGUUGCUCACUA